UAACAGUUUGCCGGGGGGUGGCUGAUGACGCGUGGAGAAUAAUGGGUGGUGGCAGCUUACUUUUGGCUUUGUGUCUUUUGUGAUCGUCUCCAACUACUGACUGCGACCGGGAGGAGGGGAGAGUUGUAACCACGUGGAAGUCACGUGAUGUGGCUUCGUGUCGAUGGGCGAAAUCAAAGAGGGGAGCCCGGGGAGUUGGUAAUUGGAUGAUGAUGAGAUUGGUGAGGUUUGCCUUUCUUUUUCUUAAGCAAUCAUGAAUUAAUUAUAGUGAACGACUUUGUGACCGAAUAUUGGGUGUUGACGAAGAGAUCGAUUUAGCUUCCGCCAUUUUUAAUCUAUAUAAAUAGUCUAAAAAGAUGGGGACUCUAUAAGAGCUUGUUUGAUAUAACCUUCCGAAAUUGGACCAAGUCUAAUCUUGGUUUCGUUCUGAGAAGAAACUUGUCCGGAAAAAAGCGGGCCAGAGUCGAUCUACUAGUCUUUCUUAGACCAACAGGAGGAGCAUAAAACUGGUUUUUUUUUUUUUUUUUAUCCGUCGCUCGUUUGGAUCAAAACGUUUAUUCCAAAAUUGGAUCAUGAUGGUGUUGAGGAAUUUGCCAAACUGAUCCUAGGAUCAUUAUCAUCGCUUCUAUAGUCUUUUGUUUAUAUUGAAAAGUUGGUUCCACUUUCGGGUGGACCAUGAUAUGAUGUCAUUUUUCCUCGCCGCUUAUGGGACUCGAUGUUGCUUUUGCUCCAUGUAAGAUUAUAUAUGGCCUUUUGAUUA